rnacentral:misc_RNA from 1 species
CCAAACUUGGUCAUUUAGAGGAAGUAAAAGUCGUAACAAGGUUUCCGUAGGUGAACCUGCGGAAGGAUCAUUACAGAGUUCUUGCCCUCACGGGUAGACCUCCCACCCUUGUGUUAUCAUACUUUGUUGCUUUGGCAGGACGCACGCCUGUCGUGCCGCGGGCCCUCGGGCUUGCGUGUGCCUGUCAGAGAAAACCCAAACCCUUAUUUUAGUGUUGUCUGAGCAUGAUACAAUAGUUAAAACUUUCAACAACGGAUCUCUUGGUUCUGGCAUCGAUGAAGAACGCAGC